rnacentral:rRNA from 1 species
UUAGGAAUAUUGCGCAAUGGGGGAAACCCUGACGCAGCAACGCCGCGUGAGUGAGGAAGGCCUUCGGGUUGUAAAGCUCUUUUAGUUGGGAAGAAAGCACUGACGGUACCAACAGAAAAAGCACCGGCUAACUCCGUGCCAGCAGCCGCGGUAAUACGGAGGGUGCGAGCGUUAUUCGGAAUUACUGGGCGUAAAGCGCACGUAGGCUGUUUAGUAAGUUUGAUGUGAAAUCCCAUGACUUAAUCAUGGAAGUGCGUUGAAUACUGCUAGACUGGAGUGUUGGAGGGGAGAACGGAAUUCCUGGUGUAGAGGUGAAAUUCGUAGAUAUCAGGAGGAACAACGGAGGCGAAGGCGGUUCUCUGGACAACAACUGACGCUGAGGUGCGAAAGCGUGGGGAGC